CACCAAGGUGCUGCACGCGUUCCAGACGAGCUUCGUGCAGGUGCAGAGCCUGCUGGACCAGAACCGCGUCCUCAUCAACGAGAUCAACCAGAACCACGAGUCCAAGGUGCCCGGCGACCUCUCCCGCAACGUCGGCCUCAUCCGGGAGCUCAACAACAACAUCCGCCGCGUCGUCGACCUCUACGCCGACCUCUCCUCGCUUUUCGCCGCCUCCGACGGCGGCCGCGCGGCCUCCGAGGGCGGAUCCGUCGGCACCGUUCGGCAGGCCGGCGCCGGCCACAAGCGGAUCAGGUCCGGCCUCGACUGACUUCUUGUUGUUCAUCAUCU
rnacentral:lncRNA from 1 species